rnacentral:rRNA from 1 species
AGCGAACGCUGGCGGCAGGCUUAACACAUGCAAGUCGAGCGGGCGUAGCAAUACGUCAGCGGCAGACGGGUGAGUAACGCGUGGGAACAUACCUUUUGGUUCGGAACAACACAGGGAAACUUGUGCUAAUACCGGAUAAGCCCUUACGGGAAGAUUAUCGCCGAAAGAUUGGCCCGCGUCUGAUUAGCUAGUUGGUGAGGUAAUGGCUCACCAAGGCGACGAUCAGUAGCUGGUCUGAGAGGAUGAUCAGCCACAUUGGGACUGAGACACGGCCCAAACUCCUACGGGAGGCAGCAGUGGGGAAUAUUGGACAAUGGGCGCAAGCCUGAUCCAGCCAUGCCGCGUGAGUGAUGAAGGCCCUAGGGUUGUAAAGCUCUUUUGUGCGGGAAGAUAAUGACGGUACCGCAAGAAUAAGCCCCCGGCUAACUUCGUGCCAGCCGCCGCCGUAAU